GACGAACGCUGGCGGCGUGCUUAACACAUGCGAGUCGAACGGAAAGGCCCUGCUUUUGUGGGGUGCUCGAGUGGCGAACGGGUGAGUAACACGUGAGUAACCUGCCCUUGACUUUGGGAUAACUUCAGGAAACUGGGGCUAAUACCGGAUAGGAGCUCCUGCUGCAUGGUGGGGGUUGGAAAGUUUCGGCGGUUGGGGAUGGACUCGCGGCUUAUCAGCUUGUUGGUGGGGUAGUGGCUUACCAAGGCUUUGACGUGUAGCCGGCCUGAGAGGGUGACCGGCCACAUUGGGACUGAGAUACGGCCCAGACUCCUACGGGAGGCAGCAGUGGGGAAUAUUGCACAAUGGGCGGAAGCCUGAUGCAGCAACGCCGCGUGCGGGAUGACGGCCUUCGGGUUGUAAACCGCUUUCGCCUGUGACGAAGCGUGAGUGACGGUAAUGGGUAAAGAAGCACCGGCUAACUACGUG
rnacentral:rRNA from 1 species